rnacentral:rRNA from 1 species
GUGGGGAAUAUUGCACAAUGGGGGAAACCCUGAUGCAGCGACGCCGCGUGAGCGAUGAAGUAUUUCGGUAUGUAAAGCUCUAUCAGCAGGGAAGAAUUAGGACGGUACCUGACUAAGAAGCCCCGGCUAACUACGUGCCAGCAGCCGCGGUAAUACGUAGGGGGCAAGCGUUAUCCGGAUUUACUGGGUGUAAAGGGAGCGUAGACGGCCAUGCAAGCCAGAUGUGAAAGCCCGGGGCUCAACCCCGGGACUGCAUUUGGAACUGCGUGGCUUGAGUGUCGGAGAGGCAGGCGGAAUUCCUAGUGUAGCGGUGAAAUGCGUAGAUAUUAGGAGGAACACCAGUGGCGAAGGCGGCCUGCUGGACGAUGACUGACGUUGAGGCUCGAAAGCGUGGGGAGCAAACAGG